GGCAAAAGUAUCAAGAUUUCAAUGGCAUGCUUGAUGUAGAAGUUUUGGACUUUUUCUCCGGUAUGAACAGCGAAUGAAAAAGAGAGAGAGAUUCAUCUGACAUUCUCGAUAAAGGAAUCGAUGACGGAUGCGAGGGAAGAAUCUGCAGUGAAGCGAAAGUGCGUAACUUCCACGGCACCCGAUGCACACGUCCCGAAAGAAGGAGAGACAUAGAGAGGAAGAAGGGAACGGAACCCCACUACGUAUGCAAAUCCGACUCCGCCCUGAAUAAAAUAUUAACCGACCAAUCGAAUGUGGUGGUGGGAGGAAAGGAGAGAGGAAGUAGACGGACGCGAGUCUCCC